rnacentral:lncRNA from 1 species
CCCGCGCGGGUGAUUCUUACAUUUUUACACACUGAUAUUUAUUUUUCAUAAUUAGUGUUAUAUAUUCAAAUCUGUUUCAGAUACAUCUAUUAUAUAAAUAUUUUUUAGGUACAAAUAUCCAAAUCGGGUAAUAUGAUUAUUUUUGGUACAAAUAUCCAAAUCCGCUUCACAUACAUUUAUUAUUUAGAUAUUUUUAGGUUUCUAUACAUCAUAACCAAACUCAUACAAAUCCAGAAGGACCCCACUC